GGAAAUAUAACAAUAUCACCGGACUCUUAAAUGAAAAUGUUUUGACAUAUUUUUACAUUUGUAUUUGUUUUAUUUUAAUAGCGAGCUGAAAAAAAACACAAGAAGAUGAGCAGACAGAAGCAAUUCAGGUUUAUCCCAAAGAGGAAAAGGUGUCUGCCUAUAAUUCCAUUGAUAAGAAAUGGUACAAUGCUGUUAUAACUGCAGUUUUAAAAGAGGGCUAUCGCAUCAAAUAUGUGUUAGAUGGGUUUAGAGAAGUGAUUAAGGACAUUGCAUUGUUGAAGAAAAUGUGAUUUGAUCAACUGUAGAAAAAGACACUGUAUAAGAACUUAUUCUGAAAUGAUGUGCUUUCAUUCAUAGUGACAAAUAAGUGUUGGAAUAAUAAUUUAUUUAUUUAUUUUCAAAUUUAACUUUUUAUGUGUAUUUUUUUAAUAUCAUUCAGCUAUCUGGAUGGUACUUGGUGCAAUUUUAAGACAAAAGACAGUGUAUAAGAAAUUAUGUGUUCAUAUUCAUAGUGACAACAAAUGUUUUGAACUGGUUUUAAAGAGAAAUAAUUUAUUUAUUUAUUUACA